AGUGUCAAGGGAUGGGAAUCGAACCCCGACCUUCCGCUUACUGGGCAGAUGCCAUGACCACUAGGCCACAUGACC
rnacentral:tRNA from 1 species